rnacentral:rRNA from 1 species
GAUGAACGCUAGCGGCAGGCCUAAUACAUGCAAGUCGAACGGUGUCUUCGGACAUAGUGGCGCACGGGUGCGUAACACGUAUGCAACCUACCUUACAUUGGGGGAUAGCCUUUCGAAAGGGAGAUUAAUACCGCAUAAGACAGUAACUAGGCAUCUAGUAGCUGUUAAAGAUUUAUCGAUGUAAGCUGGGCAUGCGUCCAAUUAGCUAGUUGGUGAGGUAACGGCUCACCAAGGCAAUGAUUGGUAGGGGAACUGAGAGGUAAAUCCCCCACACUGGCACUGGGGUACGGGCCAGACUCCUACGGGAGGCAGCAGUAGGGAAUAUUGGGCAAUGGACGCAAGUCUGACCCAGCCAUGCCGCGUGCAGGAUGAAGGCGUUAUGCGUUGUAAACUGCUUUUAUACAGGAAGAAGUUGUGUAUUUUAAGAGAUAACACGAUUGACGGUACCCAAAGAAUAAGCACCGGCUAACUCUGUGCCAGCCGCCGCCGUAAUAC